UCAGCUGAUCCCCAUAUGAAGAAAGCAGGAAGGUGCAGUAAGAGGAGGAAGCCAGGAGAUUGAGUUAUGUUUGGAGAUGCUGCAGGGAGCAAGAAAGCUUCUGCAGGGCUCUAAGUAAACAGGGGGUAUGCCGAAGAAGAAGAAGCAGCAGCAGCAGAGAGGGAGAGAGAGCUCUCCUGGCAGGGAGGCCUGGGAGAGACCCCUGCCAAACCGGAGAGAGACUGUGAAGAACAGGAACAGCUGAGAGGAAGACUGUGUCCAGAAGAAAGAACUUAAAUCAGUCUAACAGGUGCUCUAAGGCCAAGGCUGUUGUGCAGCCAGAGGAGUAAGAGGAGAAGGACUUUGCACCUGAGCUGUCACUGAUAUACAAGAAAAUUGGAGCUUGAGGCAGAUGAAACAGAUUAAAAGAGCUGGAUCCUCGGCUGUUGUAAACUGGCAUCGCUCCACUGACUUCCCAGGGUUGCCGUGCCACAGCAUUCCUACAAGUCAAGUGGCCACAGACCAGUGAGAGCAGCGUGACAUCUGGGGUUCAUGUGGCCUACGUUUGGUAUUCUGAUAUUUGAUUUUUCUUUCUACUUGCCCUAUAUAAAUACUGAAAAGAAUAUUUUAAGUUGUCCUACUUAGAGAGCAGACCAGAAAACUUCCUUUUCCUUUGACUUCUGCUUUACAACACAAGGCUCUGACUGCUGCCCCUUUUUGUUCUUAUUAGAGAAUUUUCCUCUUCUUGCUUCUACUAAUAUAUUGAACUUCAGUAUAAUAUUGCAGAACUAUGCCAGGCAAAUAAGUUUCUUCAACCUAUUCUGGUGCUGUCACCACGUUGAAGGCCUAUGAUGCACUUGCAGAAGAUGACUCAGAUCAAUUUGAAUCAAGGGGCAAAAGAAACUAAAUGUUGGUUUAAAAGAUCAGUACUGUGAUGAAGGGUUUACAGUUUCUCUAUUUUUUACUAUAUUGUCAAGGUUCUAAUGAAGCUUUUUUUUUCUAGUUUCAACUGCCUUUCUGAGACUCAAGACAAAAAUUGCUGGUACUACUAGGCUUAUGCUAUGAUUGUAAAUUGCUACCACUUUACAUUUGCUCAUAUUCUUAUAUCAUCAAUCACCCUCUCUGAUUUAGCCCCAGCUGAGCUGGGUCUUCUGGGAGAAAGUGCAAAGGAGUGGGUAACUCCUUCAGAGCCACGUGCUUUCUGGAUCAAACUGGAGAGAGGAAGCUUCAUCAGGUAAAAUAGUUCUCAUGGGUAUACCUACACUGCGAUGUAAGCCUGUGCUUGAGCUUAAGACACUACAAUUGCACUAACCCAGGACUCAGUUCCAGAAGAAAAGCAAAAGUCCAAGCAAAAGUCAAGCCGGGACCCAGGGUUCAUACCCUAUUGCUUUGCAGUAUAGAUGCAGCCCCACUUGACUCAUGUCCCAGGAGUCUGCCAGAAAUAUCCUAUAAUUCCACAGGACAACUUCCUUAGUCUUUUCUAUCUCAACACUUUGCAAUCCACUGCAUUGAAAACCGAAUACACCCCACUCCUUGGCAAACAGUAGCUGCUCAGGUCAGCAUUAACACAUUCUCUUCUGAUCACUGGUCUGCAAGCACUCUCUCAGAGAGCCUGAGUUCACAAUGGAGAGCGAAUCGAUUGAGCCUUUUGCAUAUUGAGCUGCUUCAUGGUCAUGGCAGGACAGCCAAAUUUUGGUGAAUCUGGGGUGCCUGGGCAGUAAAACUGUGGACUUCAGUAAAAACACCAGGAAUGAUCACACACACUAGCAGAUAGCUAAAAAGCUGACAAGUGAGCGUAUAAACAGACUGAGGAGAGAGUACUGGACAAGGGUCCAGGGACAAGAACCGCACCUUGGGCAACUCACCAACAACAUGCACAUUAUAUGAUGACUUUGACCAGGCCAACUUGGUCAGCUGGGAUGGUGACCCGCUGGCCCCUGAACCCAGCAUGGUAACUGAUGGUAGCCAGCCGCAGGCUCCCCGUGAGUGACUUUUUUUUUUUUUUAAUUGAAAACAGUGUCAGACCAGGCUGUGGAUCAGGAUCAACAGCAUAUUCUCGGUUCCUAUUUGGAAAAGCUGUUUGAUUUUUCUCACUCCGCACCUGCUCCAGUCUCCUCCCUACCCUGCAAGAAACAACCCACUGCUGAGACUGCAGAAAACUCAGUGGAGACAGAAGCUAUCUCAGAUCCGGACCCUAAACCUAUACUGCCUGCUGUUCUUCAGGAACUCGAUCCCUGGCCCAACGUACCUUCAUGGACUGUUCCAAAAAGAAGUGUUUCCAUGAUGUCAUUAUGGUCCAUUAUCCAAAGAAGAGGGUCAAAAGACUGGAACGAUGGCAUGAUGAUGGGCAGGAGGAAAGGCUGAGGUUCGCCACCCAGGACAGGGUUUCAGAGUGGGAGCAGGCACUUGCAAAGCAGUUCCUGGGAUAGGAAUCACGGCUAAGGGAGGAGGACAGAACUCAACAGAGAGAACUGUUUCAGCAACUUCUGUCCAUAAUGGCUUCAAGAGUCCCAUCUCCUGCUGCCUCCCUAGCACCAUGGCAUGAUCACCUUGCAACAUACCCGCAGUCCAGCACAGGUGUUCAGGACAACUCCAUGUUGGGGUGCCCCAUGCAUUUAGAACUCAUGAGCUGGGCCAUUUAGCUGGGCCAGGCAACUAAACUUCAUGCAGUCUUCUUUCUUCAACUCCUCUCUGGUGGCAACAUUCCCCGCCCACCCCCCCAACACCAAGUGAAAUGUAAAGAAGGGAAAGGAGAACAUGGGGUUAGGGGACACAUAGUGUUAUGGGGAUUGUUGUGUAUUAACUAUUUCCUGCACUUUUCUUUGUGUGUGUGGUUUUGUAAUCACAGCUGGCCUGCCCAACACUGUGUGAGUGUAUUACUGUU